GCGCGCCGACCCGCAAGGGGGGCAGCGGCCCAAGGUAUGACUUCGAGUGAUUGGGGUG
rnacentral:rRNA from 1 species